UACAGAGGGUGCAAGCGUUGUUCGGAAUUAUUGGGCGUAAAGCGCGUGUAGGCGGCUUUGCAAGUCGGGUGUGAAAGCCCUCAGCUCAACUGAGGAAGUGCGCCCGAAACUGCAGAGCUUGAGUACCGGAGAGGGUGGCGGAAUUCCCCAAGUAGAGGUGAAAUUCGUAGAUAUGGGGAGGAACACCGGUGGCGAAGGCGGCCACCUGGGCCAACACUGACGCUGAGACGCGAAAGCGUGGGGAGCAAACAGG
rnacentral:rRNA from 1 species